rnacentral:rRNA from 1 species
CCUACGGGUGGCAGCAGUGGGGAAUAUUGCGCAAUGGGCGAAAGCCUGAUGCAGCGACGCCGCGUGAGUGAUGAAGGACUUCGGUAUGUAAAGCUCUGUCAGCAGGGAAGAAAGUGCCGUUAGCUAAGUAGGAGUCCCUGGCUAACUACGUGCCAGCAGCCGCGGUAAUACGGCGGGCGCAAGCGUUAUCCGGAAUUACUGGGUGUAAAGUGAGCGUAGACGGCAGUGCAAGUCUGGAGUGAAAGGCGGGGGCUCAACCCCCGGACUGCUCUUGAAACUGUACGGCUGGAGUGCAUGAGAGGUAAGUGGAAUUCCGAGUGUAGCGGUGAAAUGCGUAGAUAUCAGGAGGAACAUCAGUGGCGAAGGCGGCUUACUGGACUGUAACUGACGUUGAGGCUCGAAAGCGUGGGGAGCAAACAGGAUUAGAUACCCUUGUAGUC